GGCUAACCCCCCCUGAAUGCACCCCAUCUUGUCUGAUCUUGGAAUCUAAGCAGGGUUGGACCAGUUAGUACUGGAAUGAGGAAUUAAUACCUAACCAAAUGGCAGCU
rnacentral:rRNA from 1 species